UGGUAGUCCAGUUUCACCACUGAAGUGCU
rnacentral:piRNA from 1 species